AAAUUUUCAGAAUUGUUAUACAAUAUUUUCUCACCUCCAGGCGGAAAACGUCAAGUUUCGUCCCGCUGCGCUUACCGAUGUUGCCGUUUGCCGCCUUCGUCGAGGAGAAAA